rnacentral:lncRNA from 1 species
AAAAAAAAAAAGAGCUUAACUUAAAACCAUUAAUUUCAUAGGAAUAGAUUGACUUAUCAUGGCAUCUGCAUAUGUAUGUAUGUUGCUACCUUGGAAUGCUUCUUUCUGGUGGAUGGAUGGGUAGGAACUCUAUCUAUCUACAACAGUUUGGUCAGAGAGUCUACCUGGCUAUGCUUUAAAUAAAGAUUGAGGAUGGAUCCAUAGAGAAAUAUAUAUAUUCCUGGGUAAUGUACAAACUUUAAUAUUUGGGGGAAAAAACAGUAGUAAACAUAUGAAAAAACCUCAACUUUAGAGAGGGGGGGAAAACUAUCAGGGGAAGAAAGCAUAUUAAAUUAAAGAAAUUAGGUACGGGUAAAGAAGAUAAGAAAGGUGAGAUAGACGGAUGGAUAUUGAAUCAACCAACAAAAUAUAGGAUGAAAUUAUUAAUGGCAAUAUUAUCUUUUUUCUUUCUUUCUUUGUGUGUGUGUGUGUGUGUCACGGGUACUAUAUUAGUAUAUGCUAAUCAACACCCGGCCCACCCACCUGCAUUCAUCACUUUUCUUUUAUGUAAUAUGAAGUAUGAACCCAUUAAUUAUUGAUUUCUUUUUCCUUUUUCUUCUUUUUAUUGAGAAGUCGAUCCCGGGAAAUUAAGGACAUGGCAAAUUGGCAAAAUCCAGCAGUACUCAUCUUUGAAGAAAGAUAAAAGCAGGGAAGGGAGAAGAGAGGGGGCGGGUCCCACAGUUUAUCGUCGGCGUGGCAAAGCAGACAUUCUCAUGGAUAUCAUCUCUCCCCUUCAGGCUUCAUGCACAGGCAGGAGUCACAGUCACGCUCAUCAUUU